rnacentral:rRNA from 1 species
CAAGUCUCAUCGUUCCAUUUGAAACCGUCCGUAUCAUUUUUAAUCCAAUACUCUACGCAAUCUUCGCGUAGUUGAUCGUUAGGUUCGCCGUUAUGCCAAUUCUUAUACCUAAAUUUUUGGCCGUUGCCUAACCAAACGAACGAUUGAUUUUCUGAUAGAUCGUUUCCUGAGAUCCAAAAAUGAGAAUCAUCUUUAUAACCCAAUGCAUUCAACUCUCCCACCACGUCAUCAUUUUCUUGUUCACUGGUAAUGCUAGCGAAUUUCAUUCCAUGAAAAUGGCAAUACUCCAUGGCUUUGAACCAAUUAGCUGAAAAAUAUGUUUGUAUAUAAAAAAUUCUUAGUGCCCGAUUUCACAACACGCCAGUUGACAACUGGAGCUGGAACGAGUACAGUGUUCUGGGAAGUAUUGUAAGUUUCUGUUGAAGUUGAACUAUUGGUCAUGUCAGAAUAAAUAAAAACUGUCAUAGAAAUAAUAAAUACAUUUCGUAUAGAGAACAGCAUUUGGUUUCGAAAAUGACAACUAUAUCAAAUAAGUUAAUACAAAUAAAGUCCUACGAAUACUAAAGAUCGGAUAUUAUCCCCAUGUACUCUGCGUUGAUACCACUGCUU